AAAAAAUGCUUGGCUAUGUUUGUACGAGCUUUCUUAAUGUUUUGUUAUUCCUUUCCAUCGGGAACGUUGCUCAACGUCACUUUAAAUGCAGAUUCUCCUAUGGCCUUGAUUGCUGUGAUGGAUAUUACAGAACGUAUAAUAACUCCUGUACAGCUUGUCCAAGUGGAUUUCAUGGGAAAAACUGCAGUACCAUGUGUGUAUUCCCUGCCUAUGGAAUGGCCUGUUUAGAAGAAUGCAGAUGUAACGAGUCUUUGUGUGAUUUUAUUUUUGGAUGCCCCAUUCGUG